UGGCGACCGGCGCACGGGUGAGUAACGCGUAUGCAACUUGCCUAUCAGAGGGGGAUAACCCGGCGAAAGUCGGACUAAUAUCGCAUGAAGCAGGGAUCCCGCAUGGGGAUAUUUGCUAAAGAUUCAUCGCUGAUAGAUAGGCAUGCGUUCCAUUAGGCAGUUGGCGGGGUAACGGCCCACCAAACCGACGAUGGAUAGGGGUUCUGAGAGGAAGGUCCCCCACAUUGGUACUGAGACACGGACCAAACUCCUACGGGAGGCAGCAGUGAGGAAUAUUGGUCAAUGGCCGAGAGGCUGAACCAGCCAAGUCGCGUGAGGGAUGAAGGUUCUAUGGAUCGUAAACCUCUUUUAUAAGGGAAUAAAGUGCGGGACGUGUCCCGUUUUGUAUGUACCUUAUGAAUAAGGAUCGGCUAACUCCGUGCCAGCAGCCGCGGUAAUACGGAGGAUCCGAGCGUUAUCCGGAUUUAUUGGGUUUAAAGGGUGCGUAGGCGGCCUUUUAAGUCAGCGGUGAAAGUCUGUGGCUCAACCAUAGAAUUGCCGUUGAAACUGGGGGGCUUGAGUAUGUUUGAGGCAGGCGGAAUGCGUGGUGUAGCGGUGAAAUGCAUAGAUAUCACGCAGAACCCCGAUUGCGAAGGCAGC
rnacentral:rRNA from 1 species